UACAGAGGGGGCAAGCGUUGUUCGGAAUUACUGGGCGUAAAGGGCGCGUAGGCGGCCUGCUAAGUCGAACGUGAAAUCCCCGGGCUCAACCCGGGAACUGCGUCCGAGACUGGCGGGCUUGAAUCCGGGAGAGGGAUGCGGAAUUCCAGGUGUAGCGGUGAAAUGCGUAGAUAUCUGGAGGAACACCGGUGGCGAAGGCGGCAUCCUGGACCGGCAUUGACGCUGAGGCGCGAAAGCCAGGGGAGCGAACGGG
rnacentral:rRNA from 1 species